ACUAGCAUAUCAAUAAGCGGAGGAAAAGAAACCAACAGGGAUUGCCCUAGUAACGGCGAGUGAAGCGGCAACAGCUCAAAUUUGAAAUCUGGCUCUUUUAGGGUCCGAGUUGUAAUUUGCAGAGAGCGCUUUGGCGUUGGCAGCGGUCCAAGUUCUUUGGAACAGGACGUCACAGAGGGUGAGAAUCCCGUACGUGGUCGCUAGCCUUCGCCGUGUAAAGCCUCUUCGACGAGUCGAGUUGUUUGGGAAUGCAGCUCUAAAUGGGAGGUAAAUUUCUUCUAAAGCUAAAUACUGGCCAGAGACCGAUAGCGCACAAGUAGAGUGAUCGAAAGAUGAAAAGCACUUUGGAAAGAGAGUCAAAUAGCACGUGAAAUUGUUGAAAGGGAAGCGCUUGCAGCCAGACUUGCCUGUAGUUGCUUAUCCGGACUUUUGUCCGGUGCACUCUUCUGCGGGCAGGCCAGCAUCAGUUUAGGCGGUUGGAUAAAGGUCUCUAUCACGUACCUCCCUUCGGGGUUGGCCUUAUAGGGGAGACGACAUGCAGCCAGCCUGAACUGAGGUCCGCGCAUCUGCUAGGAUGCUGGCGUAAUGGCUGUAAGCGGCCCGUCUUGAAACACGGACCAAGGAGUCUAACAUCUAUGCGAGUGUUUGGGUGUCAAGCCCAGACGCGUAAUGAAAGUGAACGGAGGUGGGAACCUUUUAGGUGCACCAUCGACCGAUCCUGAUGUCUUCGGAUGGAUUUGAGUAAGAGCAUGGCUGUUGGGACCCGAAAGAUGGUGAACUAUGCUUGAAUAGGGUGAAGCCAGAGGAAACUCUGGUGGAGGCUCGCAGCGGUUCUGACGUGCAAAUCGAUCGUCAAAUUUGGGCAUAGGGGCGAAAGACUAAUCGAACUAUCUAGUAGCUGGUUCCUGCGA
rnacentral:rRNA from 1 species